CUGCCUUCCUCGGGUGUAUGAAAGGCCCAUCAGUUUCCCCCAUAUAUCUCUUUGAUUAGUAGACCGUGAAAUUAGCUUAUUAUAGCCCCAGGAAUCCCCCAUACCUUAUAUUGCUUUCCGCCUCGUUACAAUCCCCUAGCUGAGUUGCAUUAGGUUCUUCAGCAUCGGAGUCGCGUUUGUCUGUGCCUCAGAAAGAGUUUUAAUUUUAUCCACGGGGCAUUUGCCUGUCGCUUAUUUAUAAUUUAAGGAGGCAUAUACGCCUGCACACGCACAGCAUCCCCGGAUGCGUAAAGUCGGGUGUAUAUACGCGCACUCCACGGCGAACUCGCACUUUUCCGGACUCCGUGUUGCGUCGUCGGCAGUUGCUAUUGUUACACUAAAUUUGUUUUGCCGCCUGUCGCUGCUUGCUUGGCUUCUGGCUGCCUGAUUUGCUUUUGCUUCAUGAUUUCCUCUGACGGACGAACUUCGUGAGUCUGUCGGCUCCUUCGCAUCCGUCGGCUUCCCGUGGAGCUUUCCCUUUUAGCCGGGACGAUGUCGGUCGACUGAAGCGUGCCUCUUUGGCGGUCAGGCCUUUUAUAGCCCACCCACUAACCAAGUUGCAGUUGGAGCUGUGUUUCCCACUGUAUUGCCCACUUUGGACCUACGUGCCUGCGCCUCGACACGCACUUCUCUGUUUGACCAUCGUGAUCAUCAUCAUCAUCAUCGUCGGUGUUAUUACAGACCAGAAACAUCGACAGUCAAUGCUCUUUGCCACAAUUGCCACUUUCUCUCCUUCCGACGCAGUAUCAACAUUGACACACAACCGAAGGAGUCAUUUUUCUCCCCGUUCACUUCCUUUUAUGGCCCCACUCCCCCACAUCGAUGUAUUCGGUGUGUGCGGCGUCCUGGCAAAGUAUUGUCCUUUGGGUCCUUACCAGGGCUGAAUAGCACUUAGCAAUAGACUGACGACCAAGUUUGUCAGUCAUGCAGUUCGUAGCAAUAUUGAAUUUAAAAUAUAUAAAUUUCCGUUCUUAUUCUCUGAACAGUUUUAACCCAUUUUUGAUAAUCAUUAAAAACUCGAGUGCUUUAAAAGUGUAUCCCAAGCCCUGAAGUUUCGGAAACCGCCUGUCAAAUGUAUCAUUGUAACAGAGUUUUUCGCUUUGCCCGUUUGCCAUUUCCCGGAUGGAGGAAUGGUUUUGUGGCUCUGUGCUUAAUGCUUUUCCUUUUUCACGCACUUAUACAUACAUAUAUACAAACAGAUGUACAUACAUUUGAUAGCCCGAGUCCUGCACAUAUUUGAUGUGUUGUUUUAAAGCAAUUUAAAAGGGAUUUCACAGCAUCGGACAAAAAGCCUUUGCCCCACUUACCCGAAACGGAUUUCGGGAAGUCUUUUAAAUAAACGUUGACAAUUUUAUGGACAGACCAUUAUUCCACCGAAAGGACGAUAAUAUGCCUGGUCGAAAAAAAGAAGGGGCUAUUUCUGCCACUCAAAAAGUCAUCAAUUACAGAACUGUCGCUUUGCGUUGCUUAAUAAAAUAUUAUAUUUGCGUACAUUGGCCUCCCAAAAAAAUAAGUAAAUUAUUGCCACAAUAAUUGUCAAACAAAAACACCUCCUAGCGAGCUAAAAACUAGUAACGAUCGCACCUUAACUCACAAAAGUAAUGAUAUAAGCUUUUCUUAAAUGUCUAUUAUUGAACCCAGAAAAUACUUCCCCGGGCCAUUUUCUUUUAAAAAUUCUUGGUAUAGGAAUAUCUAUUAAACGGAGCGUCGGAUUUUAAUAAUGUGGUUACCUCCCAGCACCGAAGCAAUAUUUACAUACUUAUAGCUAGAGAGUAUUUUUCCUGUGUAGUUGUUGUCUAUAUUGCACCGGAAAUAAAUGUCUGUUUGAGCUAAGGACACGCAGAGUGUCUUAAUUUAAUUUAUAUAAGGAACAGGAAAACGGACGUUACUAGAUGCUUGGCUGGGCUUACGAUGGUACUUCGUGGGUUGCAGAUGAUGGUGUGCAAAGUGACACGCAAACCGCCCAUAAAAGUUAUUAAAAAUGGGUUUUCCGAAAUGAGGGUUGUCUGCGGCAAAUGGCAGGGGCGUCUGGUAAAUUAAGUUAGUAAUUGAAGAGGCAGGACGCAGGAUAUUUCAAGAACUUGAGCUCAUAAGACUGUUGUUAUGAUAGGUGGUAAUAAAAGAAAUUAAGUUUGUUCCAACAUUAUAAAUAAAUAGGUACUAUUCAUACUUUCCCACCCAAACGUCUCAAUGUCACAAUGAAGCAGAGCUAAAUUCUCUUUUAUUGCAACAAAUUACAAAAGCCACAGGUGCCGUACAAUCCUUUAGUGCAUGUCCUCAGGUCCCUCCAGCAGCCAGUAGGUCUCCAUCUCGCCCUUGCCCUUGACCUUGACCGUGCCGCGCGACUCCACUUUGUAGCCCACUUGACGCACUUUAUCGCCGGUGUACUUCGAUAGCUGAAUCUUCCAGGG